rnacentral:lncRNA from 1 species
GGAGGGGGGUUGUUUUCAGCAAACAAAGCCCUUUGGAGGGGCACCACGGCCAAUGGGGGUGGAGAGGAGCCAGCCCACAUCCCCUCCUUUCGUGGGUGUUUAUAUGGGGUCUGAAAGCUGAUAUUGAAGCAUCACCAAUGUCCCAAGGAUCAGAAACCUGGCAGCCAUCAGUUCUGUGCGUUCCCCAGCAAGGCCAUCCUGAUCCUGCUCCGGGCUCAUGUGAUUUGCCCCACCGCAGCCCUUCACUGCUUCCCUUUUCUCUGCUGAGCUCCUCUGUUUUGCUGGGAGGACACAGACCCUG